AAAUAAUUGUAAUUGAUUGUGAAUUUGUGCGAUAUAAGUAUAUCUAUAAUUAUUAUUUAUGCGAGCAUAGUAAAUAUAAAUUUACCGCCGUAGUCACCGUUUGUUGUUAUUUUAUCUUAAAAGUUCUCGAAAAAAAAAAAAAAAAAAAAAAAUCGAAAAAUGAUCACUUUUUUCUUGUAUUGACUUACCUCUAUAUAUUACUAUUACAUUAAGAUGCUGUCAAAGUGUUUUCGGUGAGAAAAAACAAACCACUAAACGUAUUAUUGUAAAACUAAUGGCUUUCCGUACUCGUUUCGGAAGCUUAACGAACAAAAAAAAAAAAAAAAUUAAAAAAUAUCGACGGAAAAUGUAAAAUAAAAAUGGCCCCGAAAAAAAAAAAAUGAAGUACUUUAUCCGGGAAAAAUACGCAUUAGGCAAUUAACGGAGAAUCUAAUUUCGUUCGUAAAUCGAAGGGCACUUAAAACGUAAUUCAAAACUCUUAAAAUUAUAAAAAACAAUAGCGCGCGUAGCGUUUUUAUCGCGAAAUAUUUUACUCGUUGAAUUUCGAUCGUCGCCGGCGCAACACACUUUUCAAACUGCGUACCUAC